CAAGUAUUAUUUUAGUUUUUCUACAAGUAGUGGAUAAGAUGAAUCCAAGUAUAAUGUCUUCAUAUGGAAAUCAAAUUUUAUUUCUCCUCCAAUGAUUUAUCAACAAAUGCAGGGUGACAUUAAUUUGAUACUAUUUGGAUCUUAUUCUUGACUUGUUUAUGUGGAAUUCUUUUUGACAAGUAAAUAAGAGUUUAACUUAAGUGAAAAUAUGAUAAUAAGCAAGUGCUUGGGGAAUAAAACUUAAGAGGAGUAACUAUGAGGAGUGUUGAG
rnacentral:misc_RNA from 1 species